rnacentral:Y_RNA from 1 species
GGCUGGUCCGAUAGUAGUGGGUUAUCAGAGCUUAUUAACAUUAGUGUCACUAAAGUUGGUAUACAACCCCCAACUGCUAAAUUUGACUGGCUUUAA